rnacentral:misc_RNA from 1 species
UGUUCAGCCUGGUACAGGGG